rnacentral:rRNA from 1 species
AUUGAACGCUGGCGGCAGGCCUAACACAUGCAAGUCGAACGAGUGGCGGACGGGUGAGUAAUGUCUGGGAAACUGCCCGAUGGAGGGGGAUAACUACUGGAAACGGUCGCUAAUAUCGUAUACCAUCGGAUGUGCCCAGAUGGGAUUCGCUAGUAGGUGGGGUAACGGCUCACCUAGGCGACGAACCCUAGCUGGUCUGAGAGGAUGACCAGCCAAAAUGGAACGGAGACACGGUCCAGACGCCUACGGGAGGCAGCAGUGGGGAAUAUUGCACAAUGGGCGCAAGCCGGAUGCAGCCAUGCCGAGUGUGUGAAGAAGGCAUUAGGGUUGUAAAGUUCUUUCAGAGAGGAGGCGUUACUCGAAGAAGAAGCACCGGCUAACUCCGUGCCAGCAGCCGCGGUAAUAC